AACUUUGGACAAUGGAUCACUUGGCUCUCGCAUCGAUGAAGAACGCAGCGAAAUGCGAUAAGUAAUGUAAAUUGCAGAAUUCAGUGAAUCAUCGAAUUUUUGAACGCACCUUGCGCUCCUUGGUAUUCUGAGGAGCAUGCCUGUUUGAGUGUCAUUAAAUUCUCAACCUUCCAGCUUUUAUGAGCUUGGUUAGGCUUGGAUGUGGGGGUUGCAGGCUUCAUCAAUGAGGUCGGCUCUCCUUAAAUGCAUUAGCGGAGCUUUUGUGGACUGUCUUAUUGGUGUGAUAAUUAUCUACGCCAUGGAUGUGAAGCAGCUUUAUGAAGUUUUGCUUCUAACCGUCCAUUGACUUGGACAAUUUUGACAAGUUGACCUCAAAUCAGGUAGGACUACCCGCUGAACUUAAGCAUAUCAAUAAGCGGAGGCU
rnacentral:misc_RNA from 1 species